ensembl:lncRNA
GGUGCAGUGGGCACGAGGCUCUCCGGUAUAGUAGGGGCGGUAAUGACUCUCCGGUACAGUAGGGGCGGUAAUGACGUUCAGUUACAGUAGGGCGCAGAGCUGCGCCUGCGCAAUAUACGGUCCGCCUUUGUGAUUUCCAAGACAGGGAAAAAAACAGCUGGAUGUCUGUUAGCUCCUCUGUCAGCUCCUCGGCUAACCCACCUGGCUAACCUCAUCCUCCGCUCUCCUCAGGUAGGAUUACUACCGUAUACCUACUAGACUCAGACCGUAGCCUGGUGACUGGGACCUGGUUACUGUCGGUGAGACCCGAGCUGUUGGAAACUGGUGUUUGAGCUGCUAACAGGCUACUGGAGAGCUAGCCGUCUUGUUGUCACUCGGUUCAGCUGUAGAGUUUAUAUCUCUAGGCUGGCGGCGGGUCCCCCAAAGGGAGACCCCCCCCAAACCCGGGAGACCCCCCCCCCCCCAACGGGAGAGACAGUCACUAGUAGUGUUACUAGUAAGCCUGACUAGUAAUUUUCUAGUCGUAGAACUAUCUAUUUACUAAGCAGAAUCUAAAGCGACCUACAGUGAAUACAGAGACAGGUCAGUAAGGAGCAGGUAGGGGUUAGACAGUACAGAGACAGGUCGCUAAGGAGCAGGUAGGGGUUAGACAGUACAUAGACGGGUCAUUAAGGAGCAGGUAGGGGUUAGACAGUACAGAGACAGGUCAUUAAGGAGCAGGUAGGGGUUAGACAGUACAGAGACAGGUCAUUAGGGAGCAGGUAGGGGUUAGACAGUACAGACAGGUCAUUAGGGAGCAGGUAGGGGUUAGACAGUACAGAGACAGGUCAUUAAGGAGCAGGUAGGGGUUAGACAGGUCAUUAAGGAGCAGGUAAGGGUUAGACAGUACAGAGACAGGUCAUUAAGGAGUAGGUAGGGGUUAGACAGUACAGAGACAGGUCAUUAGGGAGCAGGUAGGGGUUAGACAGUACAGACAGGUCAUUAGGGAGCAGGUAGGGGUUAGACAGUACAGAGACAGGUCAUUAAGGAGCAGGUAGGGGUUAGACAGUACAGAGACAGGUCAUUAAGGAGCAGGUAGGGGUUAGCCAGUACAGAUACAGGACGUUAAGGAGCAGGUAGGGGUUAGCCAGUACAGAGACAGGUCAUUAAGGAGCAGGUAGGGGGGUUCUUUCCAGGUAUAGGUGUGGUUUCCAGGUGUGUAGCAACCAAUAACGUAAUAACUGCCAAUAACUUAAUCAUUAUAAUUUAAUAAAGCCAAUAACGUAAUAACUUGCAAAUAAUGAAAUAAAGUUGUUGAGCCAAGAAUGUACUAACUUAUUAAGUUAUUUGCUGGUUAUUUUGUUACUGGCCUUGUAAGAAAAAAAUCAUUUUUUCUUGAAGUUCUGCGUUGCAGUUUUCAGUAUGGCAUAAUAAUAUAAUUCAUAAGUAUUAUAUGUCUGCAGCUCCCCAUUUCAAUAUUAUCAAAUCAUACUGCUUUAUUCACCAAUAAUCAUAAACUGAUUUAAUGCACAUGUUUAUCCACACAUGCACAACCAUGCAGUUCUUGAACUAAAGAAAUCUAGAGCAUAAUCAGACAAACAUUCAAGUUAUGAUUAUUGGUGAAUAAAGCAGUAUGUUUAUUUACAUUAUUGGCUUUAUUUUAUUUAAACAAUUACAUUGUUGGCAGUUAUUACGUUAUUGGCCGUUAUUAUGUUAUUGAUUGCUACAAGGUGUUUCCAGGUAGAUGUAUAGUUGUGGUUUCCAGGUAGAUGUAUUGUUGGGUUCCAGGUGUUUCCAGGUAGAUGUAUUAUUUGGUUCCAGGUAGGGCUGGGUGAUAUGGGCCAAAAUGAAUAUCUCGAUAUUUUUUUUACUAUAUCUCGAUACACUAUAUAUCACGAUAUAUUUUGAAUCUCCUCUAGAGCACAUCAUAAAUGCUCGAUUCAACCAUGUCUGGCAUAAUGUUACGUCAGUAAUAAUUCUAGUAUUCCUGAAAUAUAAGUCUGCAUGUAGAUUACAUGAAACAACAUAUUGUUUAAACUCAUUAGUGCUUUGUAUUGGAACAAUUUAGAACUUGCACAUAAGAAAAGGAAAAUCACAGCAAGUUAGAUUUACCAACACAGCAUUUAUUCAAACCGUUAAUUAUUUAUUAACUGUUAAUAAUACACUGCCAGACGACGGAUCCAAUGCUAUUCUUUUUCAAAACCAAAUCCUCAGUUUCCAUCCUUUUUUCUCUCUCUCGCUGUUCUCACUCACCGGUCGGAGGUACACACACCUACAGCAGCGCGCCGUCCAGACUACGUCACACACGCGCGUCCAUGAGAAUCUCGCGGACUCGCAACGGGCGGGGGGGGAGU